UACGUAGGGUGCGAGCGUUGCCCGGAAUCAUUGGGCGUAAAGGGCGCGUAGGCGGCCCGGUAAGUCAAAGGUGAAAUCCCUCGGCUCAACUGAGGAACUGCCUUUGAAACUGUCGGGCUUGAGGCCGGGAGGGGGUGGCGGAAUUCCCAGUGUAGCGGUGAAAUGCGUAGAUAUUGGGAGGAACACCAGUGGCGAAGGCGGCCACCUGGACCGGUUCUGACGCUGAUGCGCGAAAGCGUGGGUAGCAAACAGG
rnacentral:rRNA from 1 species